GAUGAACGCUGGCGGCGUGCCUAAUACAUGCAAGUCGAGCGAACGGACGAGAAGCUUGCUUCUCUGAUGUUAGCGGCGGACGGGUGAGUAACACGUGGAUAACCUACCUAUAAGACUGGGAUAACUUCGGGAAACCGGAGCUAAUACCGGAUAAUAUUUUGAACCGCAUGGUUCAAAAGUGAAAGACGGUCUUGCUGUCACUUAUAGAUGGAUCCGCGCUGCAUUAGCUAGUUGGUAAGGUAACGGCUUACCAAGGCAACGAUGCGUAGCCGACCUGAGAGGGUGAUCGGCCACACUGGAACUGAGACACGGUCCAGACUCCUACUGGAGGCAGCAGUAGGGAAUCUUCCGCAAUGGGCGAAAGCCUGACGGAGCAACGCCGCGUGAGUGAUGAAGGUCUUCGGAUCGUAAAACUCUGUUAUUAGGGAAGAACAUAUGUGUAAGUAACUGUGCACAUCUUGACGGUACCUAAUCAGAAAGCCACGGCUAACUACGUG
rnacentral:rRNA from 1 species